rnacentral:rRNA from 1 species
GACGAACGCUGGCGGCGUGCUUAACACAUGCAAGUCGAACGGAAAGGCCCUGCUUUUGUGGGGUGCUCGAGUGGCGAACGGGUGAGUAACACGUGAGUAACCUGCCCUUGACUUUGGGAUAACUUCAUGAAACUAGUGCUAAUACCGGAUAGGAGCUCCUGCUGCAUGGUGGUGGUUGGAACGUUUCGGCGGUUGGGGAUGGACUCGCGGCUUCUCAGCGUGUUGGUGAGGUAGUGGCUUACCAAGGCUUUGACGGGUAGCUGGCCUGAGAGGGUGACCGGCAACAUUGGGACUGAGAUACGGCCCAGACUACUACGGGAGGCAGCAGUGGGGAAUAUUGCACAAUGGGCGGAAGCCUGAUGCAGCAACGCCGCGUGCGGGAUGACGGCCUUCGGGUUGUAAACCGCUUUCGCCUGUGACGAAGCGUGAGUGACGGUAAUGGGUAAAGAAGCACCGGCUAACUACGUG